AGAGUUUGAUCCUGGCUCAGGAUGAACGCUAGCGGCAGGCUUAAUACAUGCAAGUCGAGGGGCAGCACAGGUAGCAAUACUGGGUGGCGACCGGCAAACGGGUGCGGAACACGUACGCAACCUUCCUUUAAGCGGGGGAUAGCCCAGGGAAACUUGGAUUAAUACCCCGUACGAUUACGGUGUGGCAUCACAUUGUAAUGAAAGCUCCGGCACUUAAAGAUGGGCGUGCGGCUGAUUAGGUAGUUGGCGGGGUAACGGCCCACCAAGCCAACGAUCAGUAACUGGUGUGAGAGCACGACCAGUCACACGGGCACUGAGACACGGGCCCGACUCCUACGGGAGGCAGCAGUAAGGAAUAUUGGUCAAUGGACGCAAGUCUGAACCAGCCAUGCCGCGUGGAGGAUGAAGGCCCUCUGGGUUGUAAA
rnacentral:rRNA from 1 species